GUUUCAUGACUAUUCUGAAAAUUAAAAAUAGAAGGCAGGGAGAAGAGAGUGAGCAAAUGGUCUCUGCCACCAAAUAAUAUUGUGCUUUCUUGCAGCUAGACCUAACCUUUCAGGAUUUGCUUUUCAAGCUCUUUAUUGAAAUUGCUCGGGUCUUUAACCGAUCUCCCCUGGGGGCUGAAAAGCCUUAAGCUAAUUAAGCACGGCUGAGACAUGCUUGAUGAGAUGGGAAAAAACAUGAAGCUUUUGAAAGGGUGAAAAAUCUCUGGCCAUCUGCUAGUGGUGUUGCAAAGAGAACAAUGAGGAAGAAUAAAGGGGGCAGCUAGCCGGAGUGAAAAGAGGCCCUGCAGACGGAGCUCUGUUUGAAUGAAUACCACACAGCCAGCCAGAGAGGAGCUUCUGUUGUACUUGGCAGUCCAUGUAACACCAACAGACCCCCAGUCACUGGAGCUCUGGGAAUCUGGCUGAGUUGUCAUUUCAUCAAUUGUGGAAACAUCCUGUGGUCCUGUUAACAUCAAAGAUUGGAAAUAACAUCAAUGGGAUACUUAUGUGAAUACAGAAGAUAGAACACUAAAACUGGGUACAAAACCAAUAUACAGCAUAUUUCUCUGAAGCCAGCUUGCUUGCUUGCUUUCUAAUUAGCAAUUAUAACAUUGGGGUCACUUUAUAAAAGUUAAAAGCAAAUAGCUUUCAAAUGUAUUAAAGUCCUCCCCAGUAUUAGUAUUUAGUAUGAAGUAGUAGUCAAAAUAGACCACACUUAAUGGAAACUCUGGACUACUGUGUUCUAUUUUUUGUGAGCAUACUGAUUUUGAUGGUUCAACCAUGAUGAAUUGUCUAUCAUUUGGGAGCUCUGAAGCUUUCUCUGACAAAGAUUUUUGGCUGUCACCAGAGUAUGAACUAGCAGCUGUUCCAAACCACCUGUACUUGACACUCAAGUUACAUAUAGCAAUGAAAGCAAUAUAGCAGGCUUCUGGUAACAAAAACAUAAUGCUCUGAGGUGACCCAGAAUCAACAUGGCUAAAAUAAAUGAUUUGGAGGCCUGUUUCUUUUUCAGUAACACUAGAGACUACAGUAUCAAGACUGACUGGCAUACAACAUCUACUAGUUAUAUAAUAGACAUUUUUCUGAGGCAACAAAGGUCACAAGUGAAAAAGUUGAAUGCUAUAAUUAAAACAACUUAGAUUCCCAAUUGAUUCACUAUUUGCAUCUUAAAGAAUUUCAAAAGAUAACUUUACCUUCAUCUUGAUCUUCUUCACACAUUGCAUGAUGUGCUGGGGCAUUCUCUUGUGUGGCUUUGGAAUCCUUUGAGGAAUCUGAUAAAAACAACAAACAAAAUAACCUUGU